GUGCGAUAAGGGAAUUCCAAGUGCGAGGGCAUAGAGCCCUCGCUUUUUUUGAACCCUUAGGGUGGUACAGGAACAAGAGCUGGGCAAGACCGGUGCCAGCCGCCGCGGUAACACCGGCAGUUCGAGUGAUGACCGAUAUUAUUGGGCCUAAAGCGUCCGUAGCUGGCUGAGCAGGUCCGUCGGGAAAUCUGCUCGCUCAACGAGCAGGCGUCCGGCGGAAACCAAUCGGCUUGGGACCGGAAGACCUGAGGGGUACGUCUGGGGUAGGAGUGAAAUCCCGUAAUCCUGGACGGACCACCGAUGGCGAAAGCGCCUCAGGAGGUCGGAUCCGACAGUGAGGGACGAAAGCUGGGGUCACGAACCGGAUUAGAUACCCGGGUAGUCCCAGCUGUAAACGAUGCCCGUUAGGUGUGGCACUGGCUACGAGCCAGUGCUGUGCCGCAGGGAAGCCGAGAAGUGAGCCGCCUGGGAAGUACGUCCGCAAGGAUGAAACUUAAAGGAAUUGGCGGGGGAGCACUACAACCGGAGGAGCCUGCGGUUUAAUUGGACUCAACGCCGGACAUCUCACCAGCUCCGACAGUAUGCAGUGACAGUCAGUGUGAUGAGCUUACUUGAGCUACUGAGAGGAGGUGCAUGGCCGCCGUCAGCUCGUACCGUGAGGCGUCCUGUUAAGUCAGGCAACGAGCGAGACCCGCAUCCUUAAUUGCCAGCAUGGGCCAUCGGCCUGAUGGGUACAUUAGGGGGACUGCCAGUGCUAAACUGGAGGAAGGAACGGGCAACGGUAGGUCAGUAUGCCCCGAAUGAGCUGGGCUACACGCGGGCUACAAUGGUCGAGACAGUGGGAUGCAACCCCGAGAGGGGGCGCUAAUCUCCGAAACUCGAUCGUAGUUCGGAUUGUGGGCUGAAACUCG
rnacentral:rRNA from 1 species